rnacentral:tRNA from 2 species
GCACGGAUGGCCGAGUGGUCUAAGGCGCCAGACUCAAGCAUCAUUCACUUGCCGCGCGUCAGCGGUUGGGCGUUCUGGUACUCGUAAGGGUGCGUGGGUUCAAAUCCCACUCCGUGCA